rnacentral:rRNA from 1 species
UGCGUAGGCGGGUAGGUAAGUCAGAGGUGAAAUCCUGGAGCUUAACUCCAGAACUGCCUUUGAUACUAUCUAUCUUGAAUAUGGUGGAGGUAAGCGGAAUAUGUCAUGUAGCGGUGAAAUGCAUAGAUAUGACAUAGAACACCUAUUGCGAAGGCAGCUUACUACGCCUAUAUUGACGCUGAGGCACGAAAGCGUGGGGAUCAAACA